rnacentral:tRNA from 4 species
AGCCUGCUUAGCUCAGAGGUUAGAGCAUCGCAUUUG